rnacentral:rRNA from 1 species
AAGACUGAUCGCCCCAAUGGACUGAGACCCGGCCCAUAUCCUACGGAGGCAGCAGUAGGAAUCUUCCACAAUGGGCGCAAGCCUGAUGGAGCAACACCGCGUGAGUGAAGAAGGGUUUCGGCUCGUAAAGCUCUGUUGUUAAAGAAGAACACGUAUGAGAGUAACUGUUCAUACGUUGACGGUAUUUAACCAGAAAGUCACGGCUAACUACGUGCCAGCAGCCGCGGUAAUACGUAGGUGGCAAGCGUUAUCCGGAUUUAUUGGGCGUAAAGAGAGUGCAGGCGGUUUUCUAAGUCUGAUGUGAAAGCCUUCGGCUUAACCGGAGAAGUGCAUCGGAAACUGGAUAACUUGAGUGCAGAAGAGGGUAGUGGAACUCCAUGUGUAGCGGUGGAAUGCGUAGAUAUAUGGAAGAACACCAGUGGCGAAGGCGGCUACCUGGUCUGCAACUGACGCUGAGACUCGAAAGCAUGGGUAGCGAACAGGAUUAGAUACCCUGGUAGUCCAUGCCGUAAACGAUGAGUGCUAGGUGUUGGAGGGUUUCCGCCCUUCAGUGCCGGAGCUAACGCAUUAAGCACUCCGCCUGGGGAGUACGACCGCAAGGUUGAAACUCAAAGGAAUUGACGGGGGCCCGCACAAGCGGUGGAGCAUGUGGUUUAAUUCGAAGCUACGCGAAGAACCUUACCAGGUCUUGACAUCUUGCGCCAACCCUAGAGAUAGGGCGUUUCCUUCGGGAACGCAAUGACAGGUGGUGCAUGGUCGUCGUCAGCUCGUGUCGUGAGAUGUUGGGUUAAGUCCCGCAACGAGCGCAACCCUUGUUACUAGUUGCCAGCAUUAAGUUGGGCACUCUAGUGAGACUGCCGGUGACAAACCGGAGGAAGGUGGGGACGACGUCAGAUCAUCAUGCCCCUUAUGACCUGGGCUACACACGUGCUACAAUGGACGGUACAACGAGUCGCGAACUCGCGAGGGCAAGCAAAUCUCUUAAAACCGUUCUCAGUUCGGACUGCAGGCUGCAACUCGCCUGCACGAAGUCGGAAUCGCUAGUAAUCGCGGAUCAGCAUGCCGCGGUGAAUACGUUCCCGGGCCUUGUACACACCGCCCGUCACACCAUGAGAGUUUGUAACACCCAAAGUCGGUGAGAGUAACGCUUCUAGGNA